UACGUAGGGGGCAAGCGUUGUCCGGAUUUAUUGGGCGUAAAGAGCUCGUAGGUGGUUCGGUAAGUCGGAUGUGAAAUCUCCAGGCUCAACCUGGAGGGGUCAUUCGAUACUGCCGUGACUAGAGUUCGGUAGGGGAGUGUGGAAUUCCUGGUGGAGCGGUGAAAUGCGCAGAUAUCAGGAGGAACACCCGUAGCGAAGGCGGCACUCUGGGCCGAUACUGACGCUGAUGCGCGAAAGCCAGGGGAGCGAACGGG
rnacentral:rRNA from 1 species